rnacentral:ncRNA from 1 species
AUUGAUAGAGGUGCGGCGAGAUGAGUAUCCGGCGGAGGAGGCGUCCGAGGAACCCGGUGAAAGGCGCAGCUGCCGAAACAGCAUUGCGGGCGCGUGAUCUGUUGGGCUCACUUGUAAAUAACAGUGGGACUCCUACAAA